rnacentral:rRNA from 1 species
ACAUAACUGAUGCCUCCGCGUAUCGACUUUGUGCGCAUUUUAGCUAUUAUGUGGUUCUUUUAAUUAAAAUGAUUCUUUUUAAGAUUCAUCUAUUAAAAAUUUGCUUCGGCAUAAUUUUUUUUGAUGAUCUUGUUACUUUGAGUAAAUUAGAGUGUUCAAAGCAAACAGAUAUAGCAUUUGUGCGUUUGAAUACUACAGCAUGGAAUAACAAAAUUGAACAAGUCAGAAUUUUUUUGUUCUUUUUUCUUAUUUUGGCUUAGUUACGAUUAAUAGGAGUAGCUUGGGGGCAUUUGUAUUCAGAUGUCAGAGGUGAAAUUCUUAGAUUUUCUGGAGACAAACAACUGCGAAAGCAUUUGCCUAAAAUACUUCCAUUAAUCAAGAACGAAAGUUAAGGGAGUGAAGACGAUCAGAUACCGUCGUAAUCUUAACCAUAAACUAUGCCGACUAGGCUUUGGAUGAAAGAUUUUAAAAUAAGAGUUUUUCUUUUCUCUCCGGAGAUUAGAACUCUUAGAUUGCUUCCUUCAGUGCCUUAUGAGAAAUCAAAGUCUUUGGGUUCUGGGGCGAGUAUUCGCGCAAGCGAGAAAGUUAAAAGAAUUGACGGAAGGGCACCACCAGGCGUGGAGCUUGCGGCUUAAUUUGACUCAACACGGGAAAACUCACUAGUUUAAGACAAGAGUAGGAUUGACAGAUUAAUAGCUCUUUCUUGAUUUCUUGGAUGGUGAUGCAUGGCCGUUUUUAGUUCGUGAAUAUGAUUUGUCUGGUUAAUUCCGAUAACGAACGAGAUCUUAACCUGCUAAUUAGCGGCAAAUACGAUAUAUUCUUAUGUAGAAUUGAAUAUAGUGGAUUUGUUAGAUUUUGAAGAAAAUAUUGGAAUUACGUUAAAUGUGAUUCCUUUCCCUUUUCUACUUAAUUUACAUUUCCAUCUAUUUCUUUUUUGCGUAUGAAUGUAUUUGCUUGAUUGUAAAGCUUCUUAGAGGAACGAUGUGUG